rnacentral:rRNA from 1 species
GAUGAACGCUAGCGGUAGGCCUAACACAUGCAAGUCGAACGGUAACAUAAAGAGCUUGCUCUUUGAUGACGAGUGGCGAACGGGUGCGUAACACGUAUGCAACUUACCCUUCACAGGGGGAUAGCCCAGAGAAAUUUGGAUUAAUACCCCAUAUUAUCAUUAUAUCGCAUGAUUAAAUGAUGAAAACUCCGGUGGUGAAGGAUAGGCAUGCGGCCCAUUAGUUAGUUGGUGAGGUAACGGCUCACCAAGACCACGAUGGGUAGGGGUCUGAGAGGAUGAUCCCCCACACUGGUACUGAGACACGGACCAGACUCCUACGGAGCAGCAGUGAGGAAUAUUGGUCAAUGGACGAAAGUCUGAACCAGCCAUACCG